AUAGUACGCUUUGGAAACUGUUUAACUUGAGUGCAGAAGGGGAGAGUGGAAUUCCAUGUGUAGCGGUGAAAUGCGUAGAUAUAUGGAGGAACACCGGUGGCGAAAGCGGCUCUCUGGUCUGUAACUGACGCUGAGGCUCGAAAGCGUGGGGAGCAAACAGGAUUAGAUACCCUGGUAGUCCACGCCGUAAACGAUGAGUGCUAGGUGUUGGACCCUUUCCGCCCUUCA
rnacentral:rRNA from 1 species